AUUUUUGUUCCGUACUCCUGGAAUUUCUAAAUGUGUGCUUUCUCAAUUCUGCAGAUGGGAAGACCCUGGAGAAAGGAAAAGAAGGUGAGGAUAGAAGGGGCCAGUAGGGAUUGAAGAUUAAAAAUGUGGCAAAGCACACAUCUCAACCCAGUGCUGUCAGAGAGUCUGCCCACAGCUCGUCUUGAAAGAAGCACACGCUUCCAGACACAGACUUUCAGUCCCCAUGGAAGAGAAGCACAGUCAACCAAGGCCACAGACUUCAGUAUGAGGCCCCUGGCAACUUCACACGACCUAACUGAACUCUCUCAAGCCAUCCUUUCAAAAGGAAUGAAAAUUGAGGUCUCUUGUUUUAUGCUGAAGACUCUACGAUGCCUGCAGAGUCAGGAACUCUGGAAUCUUAGGUGUCCUCCUUACAUAUCCAUCUCCAUCACCCUUGGCUGAACAUGCUGAGAAAGAAUGACCCGGCAUGCAUGCAGAGAAGAGUCACUACUUUCUGUGUUCAAACAUGUUCGGGCCCUGUGUACACACUCUAUGCAUCACCCAGCACGGUCCUGUUUUUGUGUAGCGUGGCUUCAUUCUUUUGCAAUUCUACUCCCAGCGAGCCAUAUGAUAAUUUUUUUUAAUUAAAAGAAAUUUUAAAUAGUUUUUUUUUUAAUCUCUGGAAAUGUUUAAGAUAUCUCCUAAAAGAACUCGGGAAUGGGUGAUUGUGUUUUGUGUAUCCAGCAAGGUUAUAAUUAAAUUUGCAAAAACUCCAUCCCCCUUUGAAUGAGUUAUAAAAACCAGCAGCAAGUGAAGUUAUCAGUAAUUAGGCUGAUACUUUUAUGUGUCUGAUGUCUGUCUUAUUUUCUUUUUUCUUUUCUUUUUUUUUUUUUUUUGAGACAGUCUUGCUCUGUCGCCCAGGCUGGAAUGCAGGGGUGUGAUCUCGGCUCAUUGCAACCUCUGCCUCCU
rnacentral:lncRNA from 10 species